UACGUAGGGUCCGAGCGUUGUCCGGAAUUACUGGGCGUAAAGAGCUCGUAGGUGGUUUGUCGCGUUGUCCGUGAAAACUCACAGCUUAACUGUGGGCGUGCGGGCGAUACGGGCAGACUGGAGUACUGCAGGGGAGACUGGAAUUCCUGGUGUAGCGGUGGAAUGCGCAGAUAUCAGGAGGAACACCGGUGGCGAAGGCGGGUCUCUGGGCAGUAACUGACGCUGAGACGCGAAAGCGUGGGGAGCAAACAGG
rnacentral:rRNA from 1 species